GGGGGUAUAGCUCAGUGGUAGAGCAUUUGACUGCAGAUCAAGAGGUCCCCAGUUCAAAUCUGGGGUGCGCGCU
rnacentral:tRNA from 1 species